rnacentral:rRNA from 11 species
AUCUGUAGCUCCGUUUCUCAUUUACUUGUCAGAUCCCAUCUCAUUUCGGAAGCAAAGCAGGGUAAACCCUGGUUAGUUCUUCUGUAUGAGACUGCCAGUGAAGACCAGGUGCUAUAGACU